CAGAGUGAUGGGCUGCAAAGGAGGCAAUUCAGUCUGUGGCUCCGUUUGCCUCCCUGUAGACGUGUGAAGCCUGGUAAGAGUGGCACUCCCCUAGCAAUCGGCGAGUCUCAUGGAUCAGUGGUCGGUCCUCGGAUUUGCAUCCCCGACCUCGGAUCCACUCAACUACCGUGACCGAAUCUCUCGCAAGAAUGAUACGGUCCGCACCCAGCGCCCGCCUCGCAUAGCUACCCUUCCAGGCUGCUCUAAGCUCAGCACAUGCCAUUGACGAGUUAAAAGUCCGCCGACCCUCCGCCGCAACCGGUCUAGCGUCGUGGUCUCGGAUGGUGAAACCCGCACCGCCGCAUCUUCCGUCAUUAGCCACACUGCCAUCGAAGUUCACCUUCAGAAAACUAGGGAUGGGAGCUCUCAGGAGACAAAGACAGUCUUGGAUGCUAUAGAAGCAGAAUAGGGGCCCCAGAUGUUCUUAACCAGCCCCGUAGGCGAUACCUCUGCCGUGUCGGGGAUCUUCGCAGCAUGCAAAAGCGCUUUAGCCGCUGUCACCCUCGAAUGAGGGCUGCCAUCCUCGAAAACUCGUGCAUUCCUAUCUAGCCAGCACUUGUAGGCUAAAUAGGCAGCUCGAGUCCCCCUCUCCUCUGACUCAGCGCCCCUUACCAAGGCCUUCAGAAACCGCAAAAGAACCUCAGUGGACGACCACCUCUGCCACUGGUCUGUCUGUGUCGAAGCAAAGUGCCACACCUGAGUGGCCC
rnacentral:lncRNA from 1 species